AUGGCUUAAUACUUAGGAGUGCUUGCUGUUCUUCCAGAAGACCCACAUUCGUUUCCCAGCACACCUCCUGCAACUCCAGCUCCAGUUCUGGAGUCCUCUUCUGGUCUCAGCAGGUACACACGAACACACAUGGCACACACAUACAUAGACACACUCACACACAUUGAGAGAGGGAGAUACACAGAGAGACCGCCAGGAAUGAUGGUGGCAGCUUGUAAUUUCAGCAGCCAGGUGGGGACAGGAAGACCAGAAGUUCAAGGUCAUGUUUGCCUACACAGUGAGUACAAAGCCAUCCCUGGCUACAUUAGACUCUGUCACAAACAACCUAAAACAAAACAGCAGCAGCAUACGAACAAAAACGAUAAAAAAAAAUGUCCUUGGAGUUGCUGGAGCCAAACCCUGCUCUCUUCGAGGUGUGGGAGAGGGAAUGAGAUUGGGAAGCGUAUGGUGGCUUCUGUGCAAACGAUUGGUCUCUUUAUAGACCAAUUUACAAGUUGUGUGUUUGUCUUCUCGUCCAGAGACAUCAUGCUUACUCUGGCUUUGUGUCGGGAGUUCUAGAGUGUGUUCUGGGACUUUGUGUGCGUUGACACUUAGAUGUGUAGAGCCGUGUUCCCAGAACCUCAGGCAUUUAUUUUCCCUCACAAUUACAGAUAUUGGGGACUGUCAGAGGUAUCCACUCCCCACCUGCUACCACCUGUGACUAUUGUAGUACUCAGUUUACCCGGAAGGACCUGGAUGGGAGGUGACCUCCAGAUUCUUGCUCCUAAGAUUGCAACAUUGUGGACCUUGUUUCUGGUUAAGGUCAGCCACUGAAACAAGGAUCAGUGCAGGAUGUACACAAUAGACAACAAGGGAAUUAAGAGAAUAAACUGGGACUUUGUGGGGGCUGCAGAGAUGGCUCAGUAGGUAAGAACACUGGCUACUCUCCCAGAAGAUCUGGGUUUGAUUCCCAGCAUCCACAUGGCAGCUCAUAACCAUCUGUAUCUCCAUUUUCAGGGGAAUCCAGUGCCUCCUUCUGGCCUCCUUGGGCACUAAGCACAUGUAGUGCACAGACACAUAUAUACAGGGUGAAGAGGUUGGACAGGUUCCCCCCGGGAGAGCAGCCACAGAUGAGGAUGGCCAGUGCCUCAAUUGGUUUCAAAUGGAAGACCUUGCCCAGGACAAAGGCAGCGAGGGGCAUGAUACCGUACUGGGACAACAUGGCAAUGACCACCCCUUUGGGCUUCCGGAAGUGAGCCUUGAUCUUGCUGAACUCCAUGGUGCAGCCGAGUGAGAACAUGACAAAUAGCAGCAUGAACACCAGGAUGACACUCAGCGCCUUGUCUGUGGGGCGGUGGCCAAAGCCAGGCGGCAGAGAGAAAUUUAAGGGGGCUGAGAUAUUGUGUACCUCCAUCCUCUGGCACGGCGGGGACCACCCUGGUUCUUCGCUGCUGGCCUUCCUUGCCCAGUGCUUGCUGAAUGUUUUCUUUAGUUUCCUUUCAGGACAGAGUUUCUGGACAAAAUGUAGCUGUGGGCAAAUAAAAGAUUAUGCAAUCUGUAGAACCAUUGCUCGCUCUGGCUAUGGCUCCAAAGGGAGGAGAGCCACAGCCUUAUCUCCCUGGGUCCCCUACCUUGUUCAAGUUCCCCGACCUCUGUGCCUGCUGGGUGCCACUCACACCGCACAGGGUUGGUCCUUUCCUCUGACCUCUGUUGACAUGCUUCUCUAGCUCCUCUGAGACCCACGUAGGACCUGCAACCAACCAGGUUUACCUUUUCCUCUUCCUUCCAGCUCAGGCCCUGUUGCCUCAGGUUGUUCACCUGGAAAGGUGCCCUCCCCAUGCCCAGUGAGUCCCCAGGUGAAAGGGACUGUACUACCUUUGGUUCCCUCACAUAGGCAGAGCCUGAGGGCCGCUGGACAGUAUAGGGGCAUGCGGUGUUGCUGCCUCCAGGAGAGGAUGUUUCCUCCUGUGAGACCUUGUUUUGGGCCCAUACCUGGACCAUGUGCAACAUCAGCAGCAUCCAAGAGGCGGGUGUGACUGUCUUGCACCACACCCCUCCCUUCCUCUUAGGGAUGGGAGGGGGUGGGUCUUUCAUAAGCAGUUUUCUCUUGGCUGGUUGGAGCCCACAGGCUCUGAUAGAGGCCUCGUACAGUCCUAAUUGCUGAGAUUUGUGACAAGGCUUAUGGUCACUUUCUUUAGGUUUUCUUGAGAUGAAGGUCUUACCAUGUAGCCCACACUGACUUUGAAUCUGUGACAUUCCUGUCUCAUCCUUUCCCACGCAGGGGCUAUGGGUAUGAGCCACCACACCUAGUGUGAUUAGGCCACUGUGGGGCAGAGGUAAACAGACUUUUGGCUUGGUGUAACUACUUGAAAACGAGAGCUCCUUCACAUACUACUUUUGUAAGGCUCCCAAGUUGGGUUCCCAGUGUCUACGGCUUAUAACCACCUGUAACUCCAACUUUAAAGGAUCUGAUGUCCUCUUCUGGCCUCCACAGGCACCCAUACUAACAUGUACCCCUCCUCAUAUGCAUAUUUUAAGUAAACUAAAAAAAUAAAAAAGACAGUGAGAGACUCUUUGA